CGGUAAUUCCAGCUCCAAUAGCGUAUACUAAAGUUGUUGCAGUUAAAAAGCUCGUAGUUGGAUUUCUGCGCGGGCGGGGCGGCAGCGGGCUCUUAAACCUGUCUUGCUAGCACCUCCCGCGCAUCCUGCCGCGACCCACGCUACCAUUCACUUGGUGGCGUCUGGCGACCAGCUCGUUUACUUUGAGAAAAAUAGAGUGUUCAAAGCAGGCAUCUCGCCUUGAAUAAUGUAGCAUGGAAUAAUGAUAAAGGACUUUGGUUCUAUUUUGUUGGUGUUCGGGACUGAAGUAAUGAUUGAUAGGGACAGUUGGGGGCGUCUGUAUUCUGAAGCGAGAGGUGAAAUUCUUAGACCUUCGGAAGACAAACAGCUGCGAAAGCGUUCGCCAAGGAUGUUCCCUUUGAUCAAGAACGAAAGUUGGGGGAUCGAAGACGAUCAGAUACCGUCGUAGUCUCAACUAUAAACUAUACCAGCUAGGGAUCGGCCAACGUUGAUUCCAAAAGACUUGGUCGGCACCUUAUGAGAAAUCAAAGCAUCUGGGUUCCGGGGGGAGUAUGGUCGCAAGGCUGAAACUUAAAGGAAUUGACGGAAGGGCACCACCAGGCGUGGAGCCUGUGGCUUAAUUUGACUCAACACGGGGAAACUUACCAGGUCCAGACAUGAGAAGGAUUGACAGAUUGACAGCUCUUUCUUGAUUUUAUGGGUGGUGGUGCAUGGCCGUUCUUAGUUGGUGGAGUGAUUUGUCUGGUUAAUUCCGUUAACGAACGAGACCCCAGCCUGCUAAAUAGCGCGCGUGGCCUCUGGCCGCGGCGAGCUUCUUAGAGGGACUAUGGCUUCGUUAUAGGCCAGGGAAGUUUGGGGCAAUAACAGGUCUGUGAUGCCCUUAGAUGUUCUGGGCCGCACACGGGCUACACUGACGCGUGCAACGAGCAUAUCAGCUGGCCCGAAAGGGUGUGGGCUAAUCUUUUGAACUCGCGUCGUGCUAGGGAUCGACUAUUGCAAUUGUUAGUCGUGCAACGAGGAAUGCCUUGUAAACGCGAGUCAUCAACUCGCAUUGAAUACGUCCCUGCUCCUGUACACACCGCCC
rnacentral:rRNA from 1 species